GAUGAACGCUGGCGGCGUGCUUAACACAUGCAAGUCGAACGAAGCACGUUAUUUGAUUUCCUACGGGACUGAUUAUUUUGUGACUGAGUGGCGGACGGGUGAUUAACGCGUGGGUAACCUACCUUGUACAGGGGGAUAACAUAUUGAAACAUCUGCUCAUAACGCACAAGCGCCCAGCAUCACAUGAGGCAGUGCGAAAAACUCCGGUGGUAUAAGAUGGACCCGCAUUGGAAUUGCUAGUGGGGGAGGUAACGGCCCACCAAGGCGACGGUCCAUAGUCGACAUUAGAAGGCGACCGGCCACCUUGGGACAGGGACACGGAGCCAAAUCCUACGGAAGGCCGAAGUGCGGAAUAUUGCACAAUGGGCGAGAGCAUAAGGCAGCUAGGCCGCGUGAUCGGAGAUGUAUUUGGGUAUGUAAAGCUCAAUCUGCAGCGCAGAUAAUGACGGUACCUGACUAAGAAGCACCGGCUAACUACGUG
rnacentral:rRNA from 1 species